UACGUAGGGACCAAGCGUUGUCCGGAAUCAUUGGGCGUAAAGAGCGUGUAGGCGGCCUGUUAAGUCUUGCGUGAAAUCUCGGGGCUCAACCCCGAGCGGUCGUGAGAAACUGGCAGGCUAGAGUGCGGGAGAGGAGAGUGGAAUUCCUGGUGUAGCGGUGAAAUGCGCAGAUAUCAGGAAGAACACCCGUGGCGAAGGCGGCUCUCUGGAACGCAACUGACGCUGAGGCGCGAAAGCUAGGGGAGCAAACAGG
rnacentral:rRNA from 1 species